UACAGAGGGGGCAAGCGUUGUUCGGAAUCAUUGGGCGUAAAGGGUGCGUAGGCGGCCAUGUAAGUCAGUUGUGAAAUCCCCGGGCUCAACCCGGGAAGUGCUUCUGAUACAGCUUGGCUUGAAUAUUGGAGAGGUGAGUGGAAUUCCAGGUGUAGUGGUGAAAUUCGUAGAUAUGGGGAGGAACACCGGUGGCGAAGGCGGCCACCUGGACGGUAACUGACGCUGAGACGCGAAAGCGUGGGGAGCAAACAGG
rnacentral:rRNA from 1 species